GCGGGGCGANACGGGCAGACNUUGANUUUCGGUAGGGGAGACUGNNNUUCCUGGUGUAGCGGUGAAAUGCGCAGAUAUCAGGAGGAACNCCNGGUGGNGAAGGCGGGUNUNUGGGCCCGAUACUGACGCUGAGGANCGAAAGCGUGGGGAGCGANCAGGAUUAGAUACCCUGGUAGUCCNNNCNGUAAACGUUGGGCGCUAGGUGUGGGCGACAUCCACGUUGUCCGUGCCGUAGCUAACGCAUUAAGCGCCCCGCCUGGGGAGUACGGCCGCAAGGNUAAAACUCAAAGGAAUNGACGGGGGCCCGCACAAGCGNNNGAGCAUGUGGAUUAAUUCGAUGCAACGCGAAGAACCUUACCUGGGCUUGACAUGCGCCAGACAUCCCUAGAGAUAGGGCUUCCCUUGUGGUUGGUGUACAGGUGGUGCAUGGCUGUCGUCAGCUCGUGUCGUGAGAUGUUGGGUUAAGUCCCGCAACGAGCGCAACCCUUAUCCUACGUUGCCAGCGCGUCAUGGCGGGGACUCGUGGGAGACUGCCGGGGUCAACUCGGAGGAAGGUGGGGAUGACGUCAAGUCAUCAUGCCCCUUAUGUCCAGGGCUUCACACAUGCUACAAUGGCUGGUACAGAGGGCUGCGAUACCGCGAGGUGGAGCGAAUCCCUUAAAGCCGGUCUCAGUUCGGAUCGCAGUCUGCAACUCGACUGCGUGAAGUCGGAGUCGCUAGUAAUCGCAGAUCAGCAACGCUGCGGUGAAUACGUUCCCGGGCCUUGUACACACCGCCCGUCACGUCANGAAAGUCGGUAACACCCGAAGCCCAUGUCCCAACCCGCAAG
rnacentral:rRNA from 1 species